GCUCCCAGUUGCAACACUUUGUUGUCAUCUCCUAUGCAUUAAGAAUUUCUUCUCCACAACUUCAAUCAUUGCCCUUUUCUCUUCUCCUUAUUUUUGAAUUAGAGCUAUCUCUUUUUUUCUUUUCUUUUUUUUAAAAGCAUAUUCUACCCUCUUCCUCUCCAUUUGCUCUUGCCAGUUAUUGAAUAUGCUGAAGAAGAAAACAGAAGUAAAACAAAGAAAGAAAAAUCUAGAACAAAGAAAUGAAAA
rnacentral:lncRNA from 1 species